AUUGAACGCUGGCGGCAGGCCCAACACAUGCAAGUCGAACGAGUGGCGGACGGGUGAGUAAUGUCUGGGAAACUGCCUGAUGGAGGGGGAUAACUACUGGAAACGGUAGCUAAUACCGCAUACCAUAAGGUGUGCCCAGAUGGGAUUAGCUUGUUGGUGGGGGAAGGGCUCACCAAGGCGACGAUCCCUAGCUGGUCAGAGAGGAUGACCAGCCACACUGGAACGAGGACAGUUGCCAGCGUCCUACGGGAUGCAGCAGUGGGGAAUAUUGCACAACAGGCGCAACACUGAUGCAGCCAUGCAGCGUAUAUGAAGAAGGCCUUCAGGUUGUAAAGUCCUUUCCGCAGGGAGGCGUUACCCGCAAAAGAAGCACCGGCUUACUCCGUGCCAGCAGCCGCGGUAAUUC
rnacentral:rRNA from 1 species